rnacentral:tRNA from 1 species
AGCCUCAUCGUCUAGGGGUUAGGACGCCGCCCCCUCAAGGCGGAAACGAGAGUUCAAAUCUCUCUGGGGCUA